AAUGAUACUUUCGCCAAAUGGCGGCCCGCUGGGAUGCGGGAUGAUACCGGUGCAGGUUGGAAACUGAUACCUGCUGCUGGGUCAU
rnacentral:sRNA from 1 species